UUUUCCUUUUUCCAACAGGUGGGAUCUUAUAGAACGCUUCAGAUACUCCAACAAAGGCUCUCACUUUUCACUUUUCAGCGCUCAAAAACCUCCUGCAAGGACCCAGCAGAGCAAGAAGACGAACUCGAGCUUCGGUUCUGCUUGCCCCCCUCAGAGGCUGGUCAUGGCGGAGAAGGGAGGGAAGGGGCACUCGCUGCCCGGCAAAGCGGCCAAGUCCUCGCUCAAGUCCACCACUCCCAACGGAGCGUCCGCGAAGGGCAAGGACGAUGGUUCUGGGAAACCCAAGAAGGGGAGGAAGGUUCAGUUUGAUUCCGAAGGUCUCGGGGAUGGAAUUUUGGGUUUUCAUCUGGCAGCAAAGCAGACAGCUUGUUGAAUAAAUUGAAUUUGGGCAAAGGAGGGAAAGGAGAUAAGACUGGCAGUGCUGCCAAAAGUUCCGCUCCCAAAGAACUGCCUCCUCUGGAGCUCAGAGUUGAGCAGGAACUCCCAAAACAUGCCAAAUGUCUGAUGGACUGUGAAGCUGCUGAAAUCUUACAAGGAAUCCAGGAGCAAAUGGUUGUAUUGUCUGAGGAUCCAACGAUCAAAAUUCCUGUAUCCUUUACUCGUGGAUUGCAAUAUGCCAAAAAUGGAAUUCACUAUACAGAUCCGGGAUCAGUGAGAAGAGCUCUAGAGCCUCUUACACAAUAUGGUGUCACUGAGGGCGAGAUAUGUGUCAUUGGGAAUGUCUGUCCAGAAACUCCAGAUGAAGUCUUUGCUCUUGUUCCAUCCUUGAAGUCUAAGAAGAGCAAGCUCGCUGAGCCUCUCAAAGAUGUUUUGGCUGAACUAGUUAAGCUGAGAAAGGCAACGUGACACCCAGCAGAGAUCUGCAGUAAGAUACCACAGUUGCUGAUCGACUGACAUGGCUUCUUCUCCGCUCUUGCUUUUCCUUGGUGCUGAUUACCGACUGGCCUUUAGUGUUAACUGCAGGUUUUUUUGUUUAUAAUAUUUACUGUAUUUCUGCUCUCGGAAUUCAGGGUAGAGUUGUUCGGUGGGUUAGAUUGUGUGUAUAGCUUCACCUAGCAGAACAAGAAGCAGUAUCCUCAGGACUUUCCUGCGUCAUUUUGUCACUUGUCGGAUUCAGUUUUGUACUUGAAUCUAGAGAUGUAAGGUUUAUUCUUGAGGAAAGUGUUACUAAUACUUUUGAAGUGUACUGUGCAUAUGUGUUGACUCCCUGAA